UUGAAUUGUAACGACUCUGAUUCUUCCCUGCUGAGAUUUUGAUCGAUUGUGAUUUCGCCCACGUCGAUGUUUGGAAACUCUGUUACGUCCCAUGGCUUUGUGCAGUCAACUGCAUCUUCACGACCUGCUUCAUCUUCAGGAACUGGUCUUACUUGUAAUUGGAAGAUAUAGUGAACUCCACCAGAGGAAUUGACUCGGCG
rnacentral:lncRNA from 1 species